rnacentral:rRNA from 1 species
UGGGGAAUAUUGCACAAUGGGCGCAAGCCUGAUGCAGCCAUGCCGCGUGUGUGAAGAAGGCCUUCGGGUUGUAAAGCACUUUCAGCGAGGAGGAAGGUGGUGAGCUUAAUACGCUCAUCAAUUGACGUUACUCGCAGAAGAAGCACCGGCUAACUCCGUGCCAGCAGCCGCGGUAAUACGGAGGGUGCAAGCGUUAAUCGGAAUUACUGGGCGUAAAGCGCACGCAGGCGGUUUGUUAAGUCAGAUGUGAAAUCCCCGGGCUCAACCUGGGAACUGCAUUUGAAACUGGCAAGCUAGAGUCUCGUAGAGGGGGGUAGAAUUCCAGGUGUAGCGGUGAAAUGCGUAGAGAUCUGGAGAAUACCGUGCGGAGGCGGCCCCCGUGGAGCCGGAAGACUAGACGCUCGAGGUGGCGAAAGCGUGGGGCAGACAAACAGGGAUUAGAAU